rnacentral:lncRNA from 1 species
AUGGCUCCAACAACACAUCAAUCUUUGUGUGUCCUUCUGGCAGAUACCUGGAUUGAAUUCACAGCACUGGUGCCACCUAACCUGGCGAAGUCCACUAGCCUGCCCCUGGUCCUGGGCCCACCAUCCACCAUCCAGUCACGUGAUCACACACCGAGCAUCUUAGACUGCCCGGAGUUCCAUGAAUUUUAAUCUGCUGCAGCUGUCACUUGCAGUCGCGCCAUUUUAAACAGACUGUUUCAUCUGUGACUCCACAUUUUCACCAUCGCCAGCAAGAAGCUCUGAGCAGCCUGUGGUCAUCAUGGAUGGUAACAGUCACACAUAUCAGAGUUUGAAAGGAUGAAGCGUCUUUAAAGUGAAGGUCUGACUUGUCCGUCCUUGGAUAGAAGUAAUGCAAGCGUUCAUCUCUGG